GAGGAACGCGGGCGGCGUGCCUAAUACAGGCAAGUCGAGCGAACAGAUGAGGAGCUUGCUCCUCUGACGUUAGCGGCGGACGGGUGAGUAACACGUGGAUAACCUACCUAUAAGACUGGGAUAACUUCGGGAAACCGGAGCUAAUACCGGAUAAUAUAUUGAACCGCAUGGUUCAAUAGUGAAAGACGGUUUUGCUGUCACUUAUAGAUGGAUCCGCGCCGCAUUAGCUAGUUGGUAAGGUAACGGCUUACCAAGGCAACGAUGCGUAGCCGACCUGAGAGGGUGAUCGGCCACACUGGAACUGAGACACGGUCCAGACUCCUACGGGAGGCAGCAGUAGGGAAUCUUCCGCAAUGGGCGAAAGCCUGACGGAGCAACGCCGCGUGAGUGAUGAAGGUCUUCGGAUCGUAAAACUCUGUUAUUAGGGAAGAACAAAUGUGUAAGUAACUAUGCACGUCUUGACGGUACCUAAUCAGAAAGCCCCGGCUAACUACGUC
rnacentral:rRNA from 1 species